GCCGUAAUGGUGUAGCGGUAUCAUUGCUGCCUUCCACUGACGAGAAUUCGUCUGAGUAAGCAGCAGACCGGAGUUCGACUCUCCGUUGCGGCA